GAUGAACGUUGGCGGUGUGCCUAACACAUGCAAGUCGAGCGAGAAAGUCCCCGCAAGGGGAUGAGUACAGCGGCGAACGGGUGAGUAACACGUGGGCAACCUGCCCUUCGGUCAGGAAUAACCCCGCGAAAGCGGGGCUAAUACCAGAUAAUGUCUUGUGGAGGCAUCUCCAGAAGACCAAAGGGGGCGAGCGAAAGCGGCUCUCGCUGAAGGAUGGGCCUGCGGCUGAUUAGCUUGUUGGUGGGGUAACGGCCUACCAAGGCGACGAUCAGUAGCCGACCUGAGAGGGUGACCGGCCACACUGGGACUGAGACACGGCCCAGACUCCUACGGGUGGCUG
rnacentral:rRNA from 1 species